UACGUAGGUGGCAAGCGUUGUCCGGAUUUACUGGGCGUAAAGAGCGCGCAGGUGGUCGUUCAAGUCGCGUGUGAAAGCCCCCGGCUCAACUGGGGAGGGUCACGCGAUACUGAUCGACUCGAAGGCAGGAGAGGGUAGUGGAAUUCCCGGUGUAGUGGUGAAAUGCGUAGAUAUCGGGAGGAACACCAGUGGCGAAGGCGACUACCUGGCCUGUUCUUGACGCUGAGGCGCGAAAGCUAGGGGAGCAAACGGGG
rnacentral:rRNA from 1 species